GACAGAGGGUGCAAACGUUGCUCGGAAUUACUGGGCGUAAAGCGCGUGUAGGCGGGUCGGAAAGUCGGGCGUGAAAUCCCCAGGCUCAACCUGGGAACUGCACUCGAAACUUCCAGCCUAGAGUGGUGGAGAGGGAAGUGGAAUUCCUGGUGUAGAGGUGAAAUUCGUAGAUAUCAGGAGGAACACCAGUGGCGAAGGCGGCUUCCUGGACACCAACUGACGCUGAGACGCGAAAGCGUGGGGAGCAAACAGG
rnacentral:rRNA from 1 species